UGGGGAAUUUUGGACAAUGGGGGCAACCCUGAUCCAGCAAUGCCGCGUGUGUGAAGAAGGCCUUCGGGUUGUAAAGCACUUUUGUCCGGGAAGAAAUCGCACCUGAUAAUACCGGGUGUGGAUGACGGUACCGGAAGAAUAAGGACCGGCUAACUACGUGCCAGCAGCCGCGGUAAUACGUAGGGUCCAAGCGUUAAUCGGAAUUACUGGGCGUAAAGCGUGCGCAGGCGGUUGUGCAAGACCGAUGUGAAAUCCCCGGGCUUAACCUGGGAAUUGCAUUGGUGACUGCACGGCUAGAGUGUGUCAGAGGAGGGUAGAAUUCCACGUGUAGCAGUGAAAUGCGUAGAGAUGUGGAGGAAUACCGAUGGCGAAGGCAGCCCCCUGGGAUAACACUGACGCGCAUGCACGAAAGCGUGGGGAGCAAACAGG
rnacentral:rRNA from 1 species